rnacentral:rRNA from 1 species
GUGGGUAGUUUAACCUUUCGAGGAGGACGCUCACCACUUUGUGGUUCAUGACUGGGGUGAAGUCGUAACAAGGUAGCCCUAGGGGAACCUGGGGCUGGAUCACCUCCUUAUACGAAGAUA